rnacentral:rRNA from 1 species
CCGGCGAACGGGUGCGUAACACGUGAGCAACCUGCCGAUCUGAGGGGGAUAGCCGGCCCAACGGCCGGGUAAUACCGCAUACGGUUUCUGGGGGACAUCCUCUGGGAACGAAACCUCCGGGGCAGAUUGAGGGGCUCGCGGCCUAUCAGCUAGUUGGUGUGGGUAACGGCCCACCAAGGCGACGACGGGUAGCUGGUCUGAGAGGAUGGCCAGCCACAUUGGGACUGAGAGACGGCCCAG